UCCCUGGAGGAAUAAUGGUUAGGCCUCGGCGCUCUCACCACCGUGGCUCGGGUUUGAUUCCCAGCCAGGGAA